rnacentral:misc_RNA from 1 species
AACGCACAUUGCGCUCCUUGGUAUUCCGGGGAGCAUGCCUGUUUGAGAAUCAGUAAAUUCAUCAACUGCUGGACGGUGGUCUGCUUUCGGGCGGAACGCGGGCGGUUGGAUAUGGACCCUUUUGUGCCUGGCACAAUGGUCUGAAAUUCAAUGUCAUGGAAUCGAUGGACGCCUGUCCUGGUUUCGAGCGCAUGAAAGGGGUUAAUCUUCUUUUUACGCUUGCAUGAUCGGGUAUGGGAUUAGAGCUGUCGACUCCGAGACUCAACUAUCAUACAGUCGGGGCCUCGAAAGAGGUUUCACUGAACACUUGGUCUCAAAUCAGGUAGGAAAACCCGCUGAACUUAA